rnacentral:lncRNA from 1 species
UCACAAGACUCCUGCUUUGCAACCCUUUCUUUCUCUCAGUUCCAGAUACUCAGAGGCGGGGACUCGCCUGAGCCAGGAUUGCAGACCGGCCACGCAGACCCUGACCGAAGGCAAGGCAAGGAGUGAUGCUGGGUGGCCAAGUGGUCAGCGCCUGGCCAGCAGGCACGAGGCCGGGGCUCCACCCCGCCCUGAGAACAAAGGAGAGGAAAGAAAGUCUUCAGGCAGGGGCGGCCUUCAGUGGGCAGGCGGGCGGGGAGGACCAGUGAGGCCCCGAGGGUCAGCACUGGCAGCCCUGGCCUCCGGCUCCCCCCGGGCCCGGCGCUCCCUGCUGGCCAGGCCGCUGUGCGGAGCCCUGGGUCUGCUGGGCGGGUCCGGGAGCUUGGGACGGGGCCUCGCCAGUGUUGGCCGCCCCGUCCUCGUCCACUCACCAGAUCCUGCCCACCUGUGCCCCUCGCCCAGAGGGUCCCUGUCCAGCACAAGGGUGCGGCCUGUGGGUGGGGCCCAGUGCCUGCCCCAGCUGGCCCUGCCCGUGGCGGGACAGUCCUCUCCUGGCCUGCGACACCCCAGAACCCAGGGAACAAGCCCGUUCUGCUUCCCCGAUGGGACCCACAGAGGCGCCCCGGGGUGGGCUGCCGUGGAGGCCCCGGGCCCCUGGGCGGCCUGGCACCCGUCGAAGCCGCUGCGGCCCUGGAUGGUAAAUCCGUGUGUCCAUCCUGGGAGCCGGGGCCCAGUUGUGUGGUCAGAAAACAUUCUGGGUGUCCCGCCAAGGUCUCUAAGACACGACGGGCAGCCAGGUGCAGCGGCCACUCCUGGCACCCCAGCGUCUGGGGAGGCCGAGGCCGGAGGAUCGCGAGUUCAAAGCCAGCCUCAGCCGUGCAGCGGACCUCUACGCAACACAGCGAGACCCGACUCAAAAGACAACAUAAAAAGGGCGGGGACGGUGUGCUCCGUGGCCGAGAGCCCUGGUUCCGUCCCUGGUACCCAAAUGGCCAACUCUGUCCUGGGGCCCUGGGCAGCCCAGGCCCGCAGCCCACAGGCCGCGGGAGCCCGGCCCCUCCCCCAUCGGCGACCUCGGGUGGCUGGAAUCUCGGAACAUGUCCCCGAGCCGCCCAGGGGACACAUCCUCACGGGGUGGGCACUGCACGAGGUGUGAGUGUCCAGUUGGCAUUCGUGGGGCUGCUGGGGGGACCCACAGGCGCUGAGGCGCUGUGGGGGGCUGUCCCUUCGAUUGCUCCUGCGUCGGGGGACCUCGUCCCAGGGUGGACGUGAGGGCGUGUCUGGUGCGACAUGGGGGCCAGCCCCCCGGGAGGCGCAGUCGCUGUGCAGGCCAUUCCCCUGAGUCCAGGCCCCUGUGGACACUCCGUGUCACGGUAACGCUGGUGACCGCUCUGGGGACCAGCCUCAGGAUCCUGUCCUCAGGGGAGCACGUCCUGCUGAGGGCCGGCCAGGGCCUCCGAGGGCAGGGAGAAGGGGUGCUGUCCCUGGCCUUCACCUCACCCUGGAGGGGGCUCUCACAGGAGCCGGGUCUCUGAGGGCCUUGAGGGGCCGUCUUAGGGACAAAGGGCCCCAGGAUCCCCGUGGGGUUGGGGCUGGGAGCUCGAGUUCCCGGCGGCGCUCACCGCCACCCGACGCGGCCCUCCCCGCCCGGGCGCUCUGAGGACACCUGUGUUCUCUGGACCGUCCUGUCGUCACCUCGCUGGCCACAGAAUGGACGCUGCUCCCAUUCAGCAGGGAACAGACGCGCCAUUGAUUCAGCCGCCCCCUCGGGUACUCGCGCCCGGGAUGUGGGGGAUGCUGCCCCCGGCGGGCAGCGGGCAGGCGAGACGCACAGUGGCCCCGGGAGAGCCCCUCCUCACCUGUGCGCAGAGCCCUGACCUGGGCGGCGGGGAGGCUGCCGGAGCGAGACUGUGGGCGCCUGGGAGGGGCUCGGCGGGACCCGGCUCCCUCCCUCCCUCCCUCCCUCUUCUUUUCUUUGGGGACAGAUGUUUCCUAAGUGGCCCAGGCUGGCUUCACACCUGCGGUCCUCCUGCCUCAGCCUCCUGAGUCACGGGAUGGCGCCGCCCGGCACCCAGCUGGGCCAGGGACUUUUCACAGGGCGAUACUGUCCCCUGGGCCUGAGCCACACUGGGGACGUAUGGGGUGUCACGACUGGGGGCCCCCGGCCUGGAGAGGUGGAGGCGGGGACGCUGCCCACCACUCUCGGGCCGGGAACGGACCCCGGGAGCCACGGCCCUGCACCCCACUGGGAUUCUCUGGGGGACGCCUCACUACUGCCCGUCCAGCCAGAAAGGGGCAGGGAGGGGACGAGGGCUCUAGAAGGUUCCGGGGCGCUGGGCUGCUGGGCUGGGGAGGGGCGGGUCCAGGAGGAGCCAGGGCGGGCAGGACGCACACCACCUCCUGGGUCAGUGCCCGGGCCGGGCUUUGCAGCUAGAGGACGCUCAGUUUUGCAUAAACCUAGAAGGCUCCUGCCCACGGCUCCUGACCCUCCCGCCCACACCAGGUGACCCACAGCCCAGGGUGCACAGGACGACCGUCUGCAAGAAGGUGCCUGACUCAGAAAGCCCCUGAGGGCCGGCGGGCGGCUCAGGGCUCAGGGCUGAGGGCGGGGACCCUCAGCACCAGUUUCCAACAAAUAAGUGAACCCAAGCGUCGCGUCACCUCCAGCUGGGACUGGGGAAAGGAAAGAAGCCCUUAACUCCUGACGGUCGUGCCCGGACACGGUCCAUCCGGAAUCACCCGUUCCCAGAGUCCACGCCUCUGCGCGCCCGGCCGCCCAAGCCCAUGGUGCCCUCUCCUCCGCCCCUCCACCCUGUCCAUCACCAAGGACUGUUGUCAAGGGGCUUCUGCUGCCAAGUCAUCAAGUGUUUCUGGGGCUGGGGUCAGCAGACAUCUAUGCCAAGGGUAACCAUCUUCAGCUCUGGUCACAGGGUCUCCACACGACUCUGACCUCCACAGGUAGGACACCAGCAGCCCAGCCAAUGUGCCACCAAGUGGGCAUGCAGCGUUCCCACCAGGCUUCCUCGUGAACGUGGGCAGCUGCCAGGCACCAGCACGCACGCCUGCCAUCCCAGCCACCGGAGAGGCUGACACAGGAGGAUCGCAAGGUCAAGCCCAGCCUCAGCAACUUAGCAAAACCCUGAGCCACUCAAAGUGUUAAGAGGGCUGUGGAGGUGGCUCCGAGGGUUCAGUCCCCAGGACAAAAAACAAAUAAAGCAAAACAAAAGCUGGCGCAGACUGGAUGCAGCCGCCCCACAGGUGCUGAGCCUGGUCUGGGAGCCUGGUCUUGACCCCCCAGCACAGGUCAGGUCCACUUCUCACCUGAGCGACUCACAACCUGGCCUUGUCAGCCACGACCGGCACUAGGGCUGGAGUGACCUCUCAACACCCCUGCCGCGAGCAACGAGCCCCCGGGGAGGCGACCCACGGUGCACCGACCACCGUCCCACAGACGAGCAGGCACGACCCGGGGGAGCAUCCAGGAACAGAGCCGCGACUUGGAAGUCGCCUUAGACGUCCUAGCGAUUCCGAAAUCAAGUAUCAGGGACCGUGGAAGACGUGAGAAUUCUCACAGACGCAAAAUGACUCUGAAAACAUUCAACAUGACACCAGAAAACGAGGCAGAGCUUCGAGGGACCAGGAGCUCUCCACGGGGCGCCGGGGGUUGAACCAGGUGCUCUGCCACCGAGCCACAGUCCAGAGCAGAACCAAGUCCCACUAGAGGGGACAGACGGGCCGCCCGCGGCGGAGGGGGUCUAGCUCUUGAAAGCAGCAGGUGGGGAUGGGGCGGACGGAGCCGGGAGAGCAGCGGGGACCCCCGGAGCUGGGGACGCGCUCCUCGGUGCGGGAAGAUGACAGGCUCCUCAGCUGAACCCUGCAGCGGGAAGACGCAGAGGAGACUGGGGAAGAAAGCGGGCGUCAGGGCCAGAGGGCGCUGGUGACAGGGGCCGCCGCUUCUCGCCAGAAGCAAAGGGCACCGAGCCGGGCGCCACGGCCUCUGCCUGGGUCCCAGCAGCUCAGGAGGCUGAGGUGGGAGCCCCUGGGCCCAGGAGUUCCUGCCCAUCCUGGGCAGCAGCGAGAGCCCGUAGAGAGAGGGAGGGCAGGGGAGAGGAGAUGCACAGAAGCCAGGGGCCCAGUGGGCAGUGGUGUCCGCAGCCAGGCUGCACCCGGCCAGCCCGAAGGCACAGACCGAGGCACUGGCCUCAAAUGGACUUUGCCAAAAAGAGCUGAUCAGGAUGUCCUCGGGGAGGAGUAAAACUGAAGUCAGGAGGAAGACGUGGGCCCUCGUGUGUGCGCGUGCGGGCCCACCUCUGAGCCGCGUCCUCAGUCCUUCUCUCUCUGAAACAGGUUGCUGAGGCUGGCCUUGAACUACCAGCCUCCUGCUUCAGCCUCCCGAGUCACUGGGAUCACUCAGGUUCCAGCUGAGGUCCUGAGGGUUGACGUCCACGUGUGAUUUUGGGAAGGGUGACCUAGAUUGGAUCUGGAAAGUUCCCCAGAGCCAUGUAUGAAGGCUGGCCCAGCCCCAUGCUGUCGGCCGGGGUGGAGCCUGUGGGCUCUGGUGUGCCCACCUCAGGCCCUUUGCCCUGUACUGAAGACAUCUCUGCCACCGUGGAAGAGGACAACACUGGCACCAGGCAGAGCUGACCCUGAUGGGUGGCCUGUGCCAAGCCUCCGGGUCUGCUGCCAGGCGUGGCCCAGGCCCAGGAGUGUUCAGCCCCAGUGCCCUUGGUGGUUCCUGCCUCAGCAGGUGCUGGAGGGCAGGGGACAGAGCUUCACUGUG